GACGAACGCUGGCGGCGUGCUUAACACAUGCAAGUCGAGCGGUAAGGCCCUUUCGGGGGUACACGAGCGGCGAACGGGUGAGUAACACGUGGGUGACCUGCCCUCAGCUCUGGGAUAAGCCUGGGAAACCGGGUCUAAUACUGGAUAUGACUCCAUGACGCAUGUUGUGGGGUGGAAAGCCUUGUGCGGCUGAGGAUGGGCCCGCGGCCUAUCAGCUUGUUGGUGGGGUGAUGGCCUACCAAGGCGACGACGGGUAGCCGGCCUGAGAGGCGACCGGCCACACUGGGACUGAGACACGGCCCAGACUCCUACGGGAGGCAGCAGUGGGGAAUCUUGCGCAAUGGGCGAAAGCCUGACGCAGCGACGCCGCGUGAGGGAUGACGGCCUCGGUGUAAC
rnacentral:rRNA from 1 species